rnacentral:RNase_P_RNA from 1 species
CAAGUAGGACGGACGGUCGCCGUCCUGGUUCGGAUUUUCGGAUCGGGAGGGAGGAAAGUCCGGGCACCACCAGGCAGGAUGCCCGCUAACGGCGGGGCGGGGAAACCCGACGGACAGUGCCACAGAAACAUACCGCCCUUCCGGAAACGGAAGGGUAAGGGUGAAAUGGCGAGGUAAGAGCUCACCGCCCGGUCGGUAACGGCCGGGGCAGGGUAAACCCCAUCCGGUGCAAGGCCAAAUAGGGGGACGCAGGCGUCUGGCCAGUCCCCGGGUUGGCCGCUUGACCCUUCCGGCAACGGAAGGGCUAGAUGGAUGACCGCACAGAGAUCGACCGCGGGGAGGAAGGCUAGAUCGUAAACCCGCGGCCGGACUUGGACAGAACCCGGCUUACAGUCCGACUUGUCAC